AGAGUUUGAUCAUGGCUCAGAACGAACGCUGGCGGCAGGCUUAACACAUGCAAGUCGAACGCCCCGCAAGGGGAGUGGCAGACGAGUGAGUAACGCGUGGGAAUCUACCCAGUUCUACGGAACAACUGAGGGAAACCUCAGCUAAUACCGUAUACGCCCUACGGGGGAAAGAUUCAUCGGAAUUGGAUGAGCCCGCGUAAGAUUAGCUAGUUGGUGGGGUAAUGGCCUACCAAGGCGACGAUCUUUAGCUGGUCUGAGAGGAUGAUCAGCCACACUGGGACUGAGACACGGCCCAGACUCCUACGGGAGGCAGCAGUGGGGAAUAUUGGACAAUGGGCGCAAGCCUGAUCCAGCCAUGCCGCGUGAGUGAUGAAGGCCUUAGGGUUGUAAAGCUCUUUCAGUGGGGACGAUAAUGACGGUACCCACAGAAGAAGCCCCGGCUAACUUCGUGCCAGCCGCCGCGGUAAUAC
rnacentral:rRNA from 1 species